UACGAAGGGUGCAAGCGUUAAUCGGAUUUACUGGGCGUAAAGCGUGCGUAGGCGGCUUUUAAGUCGGAUGUGAAAUCCCCGAGCUUAACUUGGGAAUUGCAUUCGAUACUGGGAAGCUAGAGUAUGGGAGAGGAUGGUAGAAUUCCAGGUGUAGCGGUGAAAUGCGUAGAGAUCUGGAGGAAUACCGAUGGCGAGGGCAGCCAUCUGGCCUAAUACUGACGCUGAGGUACGAAAGCAUGGGGAGCAAACAGG
rnacentral:rRNA from 1 species